AACGAACGCUGGCGGCAUGCCUAACACAUGCAAGUCGAACGAGACCUUCGGGUCUAGUGGCGCACGGGUGCGUAACGCGUGGGAACCUGCCCUUAGGUUCGGAAUAACUCCCCGAAAGGGGUGCUAAUACCGGAUAAUGUCUUCGGACCAAAGAUUUAUCGCCUUUGGAUGGGCCCGCGUUGGAUUAGCUAGUUGGUAGGGGAAAAGCCUACCAAGGCGACGAUCCAUAGCUGGUCUGAGAGGAUGAUCAGCCACACUGGGACUGGGACACGGCCCAGACUCCUACGGGAGGGGGGAAUGGGGGAUACUGGGAAAUGGGGGGAAGGCUGAACCCGCAAUGGCGGGUGAGUGAUGAAGGCCUUAGGGUUGUAAAGCUCUUUUACCCGGGAUGAUAAUGACAGUACCGGGAGAAUAAGCUCCGGCUAACUCCGUG
rnacentral:rRNA from 1 species